CGCUAAAACGCAAACCGAGUAAGAUCCCUCCAAGUCACAGGAUCAUCCUAAUCGCGGAUCCAAGACUCAGCGGGAGUAUAAAAAUCACUAGCUACCUUUUUAUGAAUCAAACAGUCUUAUCGAAGUGCAUAAAAAGUUUGUUAUUGUGACAAUAUCCUGUAUCAUUCGGAAUUUGUUAUAUAUUAAAUCUGAUAAUGCUUUAAUAUCAGUUUUAAGAAUUUAAGCUAUACAAAAAUAAAUUUAGAUAUCCUUGGUAUAAUGUUUAGUUAUUUAACUAUAGAAUGUACUUUAAAUUUGUGUUUGUAUUCCGAAAAUUCAUGAAAGGAACAUUAAACUAUUGUAGUAUACAAAUCGAUGCCAUUACAAUUUGGUUUAUAUCUUUUUUAAUUGUUAAAAAAAUAUUUGCAAAGCACUUUAAUUCCGAGAAUCUAGCGGGAUUUAUUGUAAACAUGUAUUACAGAGACUGCAGGUAUUUAGAACACAUUUACUUUGGGUAAAUGGGAGAGAUUAAAUGAGUAAAUAUGUUAUUUUAAAGUGGUGACUUCAUUUUAAAUCGUGAGGGCCAGGCGUGUUAAAGAUUAGGGUGCCUCUAACCAAGUGAUCACUGUAGUUCAAUCAGUUUUGGGGCAUGGAUCUCUGGGUGUCUGGUUUGUCUCCUCGGCGUCUCCUUUUCGGCAUCUUCUCCAUCGCGGGUUCUGAGUUCAUUCCACCUUACAAACCCAAACGAGAUGUUUGUUAUUUUUAGUUACUUCCUUUUUGUGCGCCUCUUCGCGAGCGCACACCUCUCUCCGUGCUCUCUCCUUUUGUCUUCUUGGCUCCACACUUGACUGCCAGUGCAGCCUUUGUUGUUCCUAUUAUGAAUUCUUUGUUGACUCGGCCAUUCGUAAACCGAAAAGAAGGGAGGCGUGGAUUUGAAGGGACACAGGAGGAGAUGCGAAACCCCAGGGGGGAACCCCCAACACAGAAAGAAACAUUAAUGUGGUGUGGAAUGAUGUGAUAAGAGAUCAUUUUAUUCAUCAUAUGCUAAAAGUUUUAAAAUUUUGGAAUCUCGAAAAUUAUUGGAUCCAUUUAACAACGAUCUGUUUUGCUCUGUGCACUGAAAGUGUAGCAAACUUAUCUGAAAGACGAAAGAUUUACCUCAACUGCCCACGCUUUGCCUCGAAAACCAAAAAAAAAAAAAAAAAAAAAUAAAAAAUAUGAAUAAAUAUACGGCAACGAAGCAAACACUCCGAAAGGCAAACCAACAAAAGUCAACUUUCGGGGCGGGAUAGGGGCGGGGGCGUGGCACUACCUGGUCGCAUCUUGUAUCUUGUAUCUCGCAUAUCGGAGCUCUCGUUCCUGUAUUUGCCCAACAUCUGUUGCCCAUAUGCAGGCCGGCCAAGAGGGUGUGUGUCGCCUCGUAAUGACAAAAUUAUGUUGGACAGAUACACAGAUUCAGAUACUCGUGGUGCGGUAUUUGCGGAUUGCAAGGUACCGCUAGAUGGCCAGGGUACACUUAUUAUGUACAGCGUAUGUUUGGAUUACUUUUAAUAUAUGUUUUUUACCAUAUCGCUUGAUCAAUUUGCUUAUAACUACUACUACAAUUUAAAUAACAUUUAAUUAUUGCAAUUAAUCCGGAAAUGUGAUAGCAAAUGGUCUGUAUAAUAAGAUGCAAGAUCUUGAUUUCUUUCUUCAUUAGGAAAAUAUCCAAGAAGUCGGUGGUCUUAUCCAGACCAAUCAGAUUAUUGAUUACCAGGUACCAGGUAUCGCACAGUCGGAAAACUCGCCCAAAAGCUUAUAUUCUUGUUUUGGUUUCGUCUCGGCAUAGCUGCAAACUAGUUUGCCUGUCUACAAAUUGUAUUUGCUAAAAGCAAAGCGUUGACAAUUUGUAAAACUCGUUCCACCAGACUACAAAAUCCAAAGAGCUGAAAUAGGCAAAACAAAAUACAGAUUUGAAACCCACCUCGUUGGCUUAUCAGCUUAGUGGGAGGGUGUCGGACUGGAUUUUUGGGAUUUGAGAUUUGGGACCUGGGAACCCGAGUGCCGUCCACUAUUUACGAAUACUGACCGUAUUCGACUGCUAACUUGGCCCGACCGCUAACGGCUUUCAACUUUUCAACUUGCUAGAAGUUUUUGUGUUUUUUCUCAUUUUGCAACUUUCUCUUUUCAAUUGCUGUCGUCGCUGGGCUGUGUUUUUGUUUUCGUUAGCUUGACAUGCGGGCCAAAUCCAAACCCCACAUUCACAUGCGGUCUUUGGGGCAACUCAAAAAUUGUUUAUGUUUUACCCUUUUCCCAGAGGGUGCCAAAUUUAUUAUACGAACUCUGCCUCGACUGGAAUUUUAUAUGUCAUUUUGUUGAUUCUUAUAACCUAUUUCCCUUGGCUUUCAUGAGUUUGCUUUUGAUGAAAGCCCGCAAAUUCUAACUUAUUACGAUCUGCUUAAAUCUUUGAUUUUAAUACGUACUUAACUUUAUUUAAUCCACGUGUGGAAUUCCUCAACCGAAAACAUUCGACUAUCAAAUUCCCAUUUUAUUAUAAUUUUACUUUAAUCACUUCGAGAACACACAUACAAUUUGUUGACUUUUGAUGUGUUUGUUGCAAGCUGAAAAAAAUGUUAAGUAGCUUAAAAUAUUUCUGAAAUUUACCUGCAUACACUUUGUGUCUGUCAGAGAUAUUGCGAGAGAUCUAAUUAGGUUCCUGCCUUACCUCAAGCAACACUAACAACAGCAAUAGUCGCUUUUUGAGGUUGCGGUUGCUGUUUUUUUAUUUUUAUAUAUUGUUUUUUUAUUAUUGCGGGUGUGCAGCUAAGUUGGCUUGGGGUUUUGGACGUGGCGUUCUGCUCGCAAUCAUCAGUUGGCUACCUGUUGGGCGUUCGCCCGUUCACUUGAAAUGCACAGGCUGUCUGUGUGGAAAUAUCUGCGUACUUACUGUGCGUUUCACAGCUGUAAGGCACUGCAGUUGGAGCUAAAAUAUUUAAAAACUAAAGUUUUCAUUUUAUAAAUUUAUUAAAUUACCUAAAAGUUCAAAAUAUUUAAAGAUGAGGAUAUACAUCUAAGAACUGGAUUUGCUUCAGUAAUUAUGUUUGGCUGUCGAAAUCGUUUUAAUUAAUUUCUGUCUGCUCUUUGAACUAAAAUCAAUUGAUAUUUCUAAACUGCCGAAACACACUGUACAUUUAUAUAUGUAUUUAAGCAUAGUAUGCCUUCUGUUUAUUUGCCGCCUUUUUUAUCGUCUUCAUUCGUUCAACGCUUUUGGCACUGCUGACAUAAAUUUUUGUUGUUAUUUUGACGAGUGUGUUGUUUGCUUUUUGGAUCUGACUCACGCCCCAAACGAAACAAAAAGAAGAAUAACUUUUGGCCGCCAGCAGAGGCAGUCACUCGCAUUGUAUCUGUUAGAUAUGUAGCUAUAGCUCUAUGACACACGCCGCUGGAGCACGUUUCUUCGCCCGAAUCUGUAUCUGUAUCUCAGCCGUAUCUGUAUCUGCUGCUUUCGGCUCUCCGCUAUUCAUAGUCGUCGCAUUUUGCACAGUUGAAGUGUGCCUAGACUGUGUGAAUAAAAAAAAAACAAAAAAUGACGACAAGACGUCAAGAGGCCCGAGCAAAAGCUCUACGAUCUCGGAUCUCGGAUUACCGGCGACCAAGCAUAACUGCACGUACUAUAUCGCACUCGGAGAUAUCAUUUUUGUCUCGCAGAUAUCACAUCUUCCGCAUGACGUUUGUUUACCUGGGCAGAGGACAGCAAACAGUCAUCUAAAGCCCCUAGAUAUGAUAAAUUUCUAGUUUUUGUUUUCGAAUUCGGUGGGGCCCACACCUGGGCGUUAUAAUUAUAGAAAUUGUGCUCGCUGUUACUGCAGCCCAAGGUGUAUAUCCACAUACAUCUGUCAGAUACGCAUCCAAGUUUGUAUCAUGUGCAGCGAGCAACCUGAGAGAUAAAAGCCAGAAAAGAGCCGACCAAAAUCAAAUUACGUACACCCGCAACGUGAAUGUUUAUAUGGCCGAUCUAUGUAUCUAUAUAUACAUACAUAUAAAAAAAAAAAUAUAUAUAUAUAGGCACAGAAACGUGUAUAUAUAGUUGGCCGAAUGUGUUCCUCGGCAUUUGUCGGAUACAGAAUUUUUUCUCUUUCACUCCGUCCGACAUUUUUCAUGAAAAUUUGAAAUGUGUUUCAUUUCAUCUAAAUUUAGAUUAUUGGAAAAUGGGUUUUCGCCUGCCACCAUAGCUGUUGGAAUUUUGUUUCGUUGGAUUUUCACCGUUUAGGGCGUUGGUUUUCUUCUGACCAAAAAUUUUGAUUUUGAAGGCCUGAACUGCCGCCGAUUGGUAGAGUCAUUAAAAUCGGAAACUGAAGUAUCUUGUUGACAUUAAUGCGGCUGCUGGUCUUCGGAUCCGAGUUGAAUGCAAACACAUUGGAGCUGAAAGGCAAACAAAUGAUUGGAAAUGAUUGGCCCAUCCUCGCUUUAAAAAGAUACAUUUAAGCCGUUCCAUUGAUCAGUCAACGUUGCGAUCGAUUCGUUGGGUUUAUCUUGCAAAGAACCAAUUCGCAUUUAUAAAACCUUAAAUUUAUGAUAGAAUACUUCCUAUAGUUAGAUUUCGAGAUCUAUUAAUAAGACAUGUUUUAUGUUUAUUAUAUUAUAUAUUUCACAAGUUCUAAUGAAAUGAAACGAUAUUUUUCUCGGUGCAUCAGUAAUAGCCACAAGCUGCCCCGAGCAUUUUAAUUUAGUAUUUUCAUAGGCACGGCUUUCGGGUUUUGGGUAUGAGGUUCCCUAACUGACGUGCUCAUAAAUUUGUUGACAAUUGUUAUGCGGAACGCGUAACCCUCCACGUUUUACCCCGCUCCCAUCCUUACCGCCCGCACAAUAGCGAAUCGACCCCAAACGAUUCCGUGCGAUUCCCUACGAUCCAAUCCAAUCCAACCCGAUUCGAUUUGAUUCGAUUCGAGCCCCUGCCCAUACACGUCUCAUUGCGUUUUCAAAUUCAAUUAAAAUCUUUUGUCAUGACCAUCGAUCGCUGGUUGCUUUGUUUUGAUUUGUGAUUGGCUGGCUGUUGGUCGAAAAUGCACCGAUGCGUUUGCACGGAAGUUGACCAUGGCUAAAAAAGAAGCAAAUGAAGCCAUCGACAUCGAGCUAAACAGUUAGUAGAUUGCAUCAAAAGGGCAGUGAUCGUUGGCGAAAGUUUGUGGGGUUGAUGACGAAGUUUUCGAUGCGGCUGAUCGAAUUUAAUAUGGAAAGUGCAUGGGAGUGGAUAGAUUUGGUAAUGGGCUGCAAUCCUAUUAUCUAAUAAUGUAAGUACUAGAAUUUGCUGAUAUUCUAGGCUUGAAAUAUAUGUACAUAUUUAUAUUUAUAUUUUUUAAUGGCGCCAUUUAUUGGCUCUCGCUUGUGGCGGCUUAAAUUGAAAUCGUAUCAAUUUCUAGUCGUAAUACUCAUGGGUUUUCGCCUGGCAGCUGUACAACUUGACACACUCAGCCUUCAAUUAGCGUUUUCCUUAGAAACCCCUUGUUUCAUUGUAUAUACAAUAUGUAUGCAUGUAUAUCUAUUCUUUUAAGCGAGAUCUCGCCCACACACUCAAACCCGGUGAUUACGUCGUGUGCCAAGUUAUUUGAUAGCCAGGCUGCAUCAAAUGUUCGGUGUUGCUAUUGUGGCAAAACGAAUUAUUUUUGACAAAAAUAGCCAACUCAAAAAAAGCUUAAAAAUAUAAUGGAGGAAACAAAGAAGCGCGUAAUUAAAAUAUUUUUCACAUGCUCGGGUUUCUUCCCCACACGCAGCAAAAAAACACAUGGAACUUUCAGCAUGGCGCCCCAUUCCGUAGCCAACCUCCCACUCCCCAUUCGAGACACUGAAAGAAAAACCAAGUAUCCGAUAGAUACAUUUGAAAAUAACUCAAUUGUGGAGUAUUGUGUGUUAAAAAAAGAAUUAAAAUCAUAUUUAAAAUGUAUCCCAUUCAGCUGACUUUACAAUUUGUUUGAAAUAAAUCUAUGAAUUUAUGCUUACCACAUAUUUUCCUCUGUGCACCACCUCUUGCCUCCCUCGCGAUGAGGCACGCGACUACCAGCAGCGGCAGCCAUGUGGCAUUAGACAAUUGCUUUAAUAUGCCACCAGGCAGGCAGCCGACGAGCUGUACAAAUUGAACAAUUUGAUAACAAACGCGCAGGCAGGGAAAAACAAUGGUGGGGGCUCGAAGGGGGAGGGACACUUGAGCCAGAGAUACAAAGAGGCAACAUUGUGGAUGUGAUGCCUUUGAAGUUGCCUUUUUGACUCUCGGUGCCAUAUGGUCGGUCGCCUGUAUCUGGGAUUCUCAACCCGAACUUGCAACUCCUCGACGUAUGAAGAUACUUAUAUGGGCAUCCGAUGGAUGCCACUUGAAGCGGCCGCAAGUGAAUCAUUUUUAUUGUACCGAUGUGCAUUUGCCAUUCGAUUUAUAUCGGUAAUCAAUUUAAUUUUUCAAUUGCUUUCGAAAAUCCCCCAGACAUCAACUCCGUUUGGCGUGUGAAAUGCGGGUAGCGAGCAAUUUUCCACCCUGGAAAUGCAGCAAAAACAUUUUCCGGGAUGCUAGAGGAUCGUAGGGAAAAUACAUUAAACAUCUUUUGAGCUUUGGCUCUGACAUUGAAUAAAAUAACUAACGGUCAGCAAACAUUCCAUUCCCUUUAAUUGCAAAAGUUAUUACUGAUUUCAUAAACGAAAAACAGUUCCACACCCAUGAAGACAGCCACAACGACCUCUCAAUCUUAAUAUAGUGCAAAUAAAACCUCUAAGUGGGGAAUUAAGAUAAUGAGGCAUUCACUUGACAACCAAGCACACGAGAAAAAAUUAAAACAAAAGUCAAAUUGUCAACAGACUGGGCGACCAAACGCCUUUUUCUGACUUUUUGGGUCUUUUUGGGGCGUGUGCUCUGCUAUUCAAAACUAUGACAAAACAUUAAAAAGAAAUCAUACCAGCACACAUUUGAACACGAACAACGACCCAAAAAUGCGUCAUAUGUGGGAAAACAAAACAAACUUUGAGCCAAAAACAGCGACAACGUGUGAGCAUAGACAAAAACACAAAAGCUGCUACGGAUACAGAUUGAGAUGAAGAUACUCUGGCCGUGUAGUUGUAGUUUGUUUCUUAUCUCUCGAUUUAUUCACAGCCAUGAGCAGCAUCAUUGAUUCGAGACAAUUAACAGCAGCGUAAUGCUAAAAAAUAAGAGGGGGAACAUAAAAACAGGGGAAGAGGGAAUUGUAAGCAUUAGAUCAAGAUACGAAUACCGUUGAGAAAUACGCAGAUGUAUUCACCAACUUCUUCACUGCCAUAUAAAAUAAAGUAAUACUGCAAUUAUAAUCAUUGGCUUUCAAAUAAAGAGUAUUUAUCAGUCAAUGCAACCUAUGCCAUUUGGUUUUUCAAACAGUUUUUUGCUGCUAAAAGGUAGCUGUAACACUCGUAGCUCAAGUGUCCUCAAUCUAUGUAUCUUUGUAUCUCAAUUUCGUUACUUUUUCAACGCGCUGAGUGCAAUUGGGAAACGCUAGAAGAAACGCGUGUUUGCUUUUUGCAUCAUGAAUGGAUCUUGUGAGCCAAAGUCUUUUCGACGUUGUCACGUCCUUUGUUGUGUGCUUACCUGUCGGAUGUAUUUGUAUCUGUAGCUGCUUGUAUCUGUAUAUGUGCAGUUGUAUCUGAUGGAAUUUUUAACAGCCGUUUCAGUUUUGCUCCGUUUUUCCGAAUUUCACUAGGCAAAAUCGUUGCAAUUUUGUCCCAUCGAAAAGUUUCGAGUGAAAGGUUUGUGAAUAUAACAACAAUAAAACAUAAAAUGCGCUAAGUAAGUCCCUUUUUCUUGCAAUUGCCAUCAGCUGUGCAAAUCGAAUCAACCUGCGGGGGAGGAAAUGUCGUUGCAUUUGUUUUCAAUUUUUUUUUGGUUUUUAUUUUUCCAUUUCAUUUUUGUCUUUUUGUGACUUUGCGUGUCUUUUCAUUUUUGGCAGUUUCUUUGGCUUUGGUUUUUGAUAUGCCAUAAAUGUUUAAUGUCGUGCUGAGUUAGCCAGCCACGUAUUGUUUGUAUCUGCGUAUUUGGGUUAAAAGCCAUUUUAUAUGGACGCCCAAGCGUUGCUCAUGUCAAUCAUGUGGCUGCUGUAGGCGUAUGAAUUAAUUGCCCAGCUCCUCAAUGAAGUCGCAUUUUUUUUAGUAGUGUUGUUAUUCAAGGAACUCUGUUUCAGCUGCGAUUGAGAAGAAUCGCAGUGGCUGAACUCAAAUUAAUUGUAUGCAAGCGAUUCAAAUUAAAGGGUGUUUUUCUUUUUCAGGCAGUUAUAUAAAUUGACAAGUUUCCUUAUUGGGGCGGAUUUAAAAUGCUUAAAUGCGGGCUCUGAAUUAUAAGUGUUAUUUGUGUAUAAUAAAAUGCGUUUAAUGGUUGAUGACAAUAAUUAAUUAAUCAAAUGUAUGUACACGCUAUAAUUUAUUUAUUAUUUAAUAUCGUUUGAAUCGUACCUUUAAUUGUAAGAAGGUUAUACUUGAAUCUUACUUAAUAUAUAGAGUCUUACCAUUGUGGGCUGAUCAUUAAUUUAUUUACGACACUUUCUAUGAGCACAUGUGGCCCUGAGUUCUCUGCCCAAACUUCACUUUCAUAAACCCAACUGCCCACACUGACAACUUCCACUCAAUCCUCCUCUUUUUUUUCCAACUGGCCAAGGACGACUCAUAGCUUAUCAACGGCUGGAAAACAGCUGAAUGUCAUUGGCAUAUGGAGACCAUGUCUAAAUAUGCUCAUAUAGUCGACUUCGACUUCAGGAGAACGUCGAGUGCACUAGCAUUUUCAUAGCUUUACGUAGGCUUUUCCGGUUUUUCCACGCACAUUUCGAAGCCCACAGAUAAAUAGUUUGUCACACAAAGCGACACUUGAGGCGGAGACAGGCGGUCGAAUGAAAAUAAAUAUAAACCUAAAGAAAAGAAAAGAAAUGAAAAGGGAAGGGAGAGAGGCCAGACUAAAAAUAAACCAUAAACGUGGGCGGAAAAAGCCAGAAAGAACAAGGAAAGGAGACGCAAAGGUGUUAAGAACAAGUUGCACACUCAGCCAAAAUCCGUAUCCAAAGUGGCUAAGAGACUACCCACCUACAUGUGCGUGUGUGUACUUAAAGACAUUUAUUAUUAUAAUAAAUCCCAUUCAAGGCAACACGACGGCGGGCUGGCAAAAAGAAAAGGCGGCAACUUUGGCUUUUGUUUCAAAACGAGUUGUUGCUUGUUGGCCACACUUCAAUGUUGGUCAAGCACAUUACGCUACAUACACACACACAAUUACGUGUUGGUGGCUAUUGAGUACAUAAUAUAUCAUUUCUAUUUCGUUUUCGGGUAGUUAGGUAGGUGGUGAUCAAGUGCUGUUGGCAGAUAGAAAGAGGUUUUCACCUUGAUGCCAGUGUUACACACGGCGUAUGGGCGAUAUAUUGAUUAUGAGACGCGACUUACGCAUCUCUUUCAUUCGAUCUAUUAAAUUUAGGCCGCACCAAAUGGCUUCCAGCUUAUUUUGGAUGAGGGGAAAAUAUUAUAAGCAUGACAUAAGCACCCAUAAGUUGCCAGAUCCAAAUACGGCGCAUAACUGCAACUUUCUCCAACUGCCAUUGGCUACAAAUAAUUUUCCAAUAGCCAAAGUUUAUGGACCAACCGAAAACAUUUCACAGUUUCUAUUCGAAAAAAAUAAUUAUUCUCAAUUUCCGCCAGAACACAAGCUGUGUGUUUUCAAAACAAAAAAAUGGAUAUACAUAUAUUUAUAAAUGUACAUUGCGCUCGCAUAAUUCCAUACAUAUACAAUUUGUAAUAAAAACACGCUAUAAGGGAUAACGAGAAUUUGAUGGAACGCAGCCGUUUUUAUAUUUCCUUGGAGAAAAUCGGUGUGUUUAUACAGGCUUUCGAAACUGACCGUACGAAUUUAUUGUGUAUUUUGUAUAACGAAAAUUAAUCAAGCAAAGUCCCCAAUGCAAUCGCUAAACUCAAACAAGACGAAGGCAAUUUGUUGUAAAUUUAUAAUACAAGAGGGGUCGUGAACUCUGUGGUCGGUCGUGUCGUCUCCGGCCCCCGGAAUCAUCAUCUUGUUUGUGCUCCCCACACGUAGUCCGGAAAAGUCAUUCGGCUACUCCAGAAAUAAACAAGCCAGAAGCGAUGGCAGCUCCCAAAGAAAAGCAGCACUUUCGGAGUGUGGGGCAUCCUAUAAAUAUGCUUAGAAAUAGAAUAAUGGCCACGAAUCAAGGAAAUAACAAAAGUUGAAUCUCUGGACUGCCAGAGUAUUCUCCCGCUGAUUGAGGCGCUCGAGUUUCGGAAUCCAGCAGUUGAAAUGCCUUCAUCUCGCGAUGAAUCCAUAAAAUACUUACCGAUUUUCAAGGUGAGUUUCCUUAUCGCCAAUGUACGGUAGCACCUACCGACAAGAACAAAAUGCCGUCGGCUGUUGGUGAGCGGGUGAAGCCACUAACCUGAUUGGUUGAGUACACAUAUCGCCUAUUAGCUAUACUAGAUAUUGUUAGCUUUUAAUUGGCUUAAGCAGCCAUUGCAAUCGGGCGACGAGCGCAGAGCGCAGAUCAAAGGGUGCCCACAGCCAGCCCAUCAUCAUCAUCAUAUCAUUGUUGGUCGAGCUGAGUUUUUAUGAGCCGCGGGCCAUAAAAUCAGCAACAGUUAAUUGCUUUAUAAAAAUGGGCGCGUGUGUCGUCGACGACUACCGUUUCAUUAGCUCGUUUUUUAUUUUUUUCGUAGGUGACUAACCAAGCAAAUGAGUAAAUUGUCAUUCAUCUCUCGCUGCCCCACCAACUGAGCUAUGAAAUUUAUGCACUAAAGGCUUCAAUUUUAUUCAGCAAUUUGUUCGAUUCGUUUUUUUUGCAUCGUUUUGUGCCUGUCAAUAGAGGUCUGGGUUAUUGAGCACAAUUCAAACCCUAAACCCAUCCGUAGGAAGCCGCUCUUAAUUAAUUAUUUGGGUGUAUUUCUUUGGGAACAGGGUCAGGGUGUGGCUUCCUGCUUUGGUUCAAAUGCUUCGAGCCCACGUCCCUCGUCGUAUGUAUUCAUAAUUUGGUCAGAUUUUGUUUUCACUCAAAAGAGGAAAAAAUUUGUUUGCUGAAGAGGAAAAAUGUGCUUUUAGAAGAGGCGUCCAAAAAUACAAGUUGCAAGCUUAAAAAUAUGUAAUGCAGACAGAGGAGCAAAAAUAACUGGGUUCACAAAAGUUGAAAUCCUGGCUUUUCGUUUGGGGACCUCAUUUCUACUUUUCCUCUGGCAUUUAUUUUGUGGCAAUUUACGCAUUGAUUGCAUAUUUAUUUGGUUCGCUUUUGGGGCCUUUUCACUGGGCCACAACGUCUACGUGGGGGCAUUUUGCUGGAAAUUGUGCUCAUGG